AUUGAACGCUGGCGGCAGGCCUAACACAUGCAAGUCGGGCGAGCGGCGGACGUGUGAGUAAUGUAUGGGGCUCUGCCUGAUGGAGGGGGAUAACGUCCGGAAACGGGCGCUAAUACCGCAUACUUGCAGAUGAGCCUAGGUCGGAUUAGCUAGUUGGGGGGGUAACGGCUCACCAAGGCCACGAGGCAUAGCCGACCUGAGAGGAUGACCAGCCACACUGGAACGGAGACACGGUCCAGACUCCUACGGGAGGCAGCAGUGGGGAAUAUUGCACAAUGGGCGCAAGCCUGAUGCAGCCAUGCCGCGUGUAUGAAGAAGGCCUUCGGGUUGUAAAGUACUUUCAGCGAGGAGGCGUUACUCGCAGAAGAAGCACCGGCUAACUCCGUGCCAGCAGCCGCGGUAAUAC
rnacentral:rRNA from 1 species